GAUGAACGCUGGCGGCGUGCCUAAUACAUGCAAGUCGAGCGAACAGAUGAGGAGCUUGCUCCUCUGACGUUAGCGGCGGACGGGUGAGUAACACGUGGAUAACCUACCUAUAAGACUGGGAUAACUUCGGGAAACCGGAGCUACUACCGGAUAAUAUAUUGAACCGCAUGGUUCAAUAGUGAAAGACGGUUUUGCUGUCACUUAUAGAUGGAUCCGCGCCGCAUUAGCUAGUUGGUAAGGUAACGGCUUACCAAGGCAACGAUGCGUAGCCGACCUGAAAGGGUGAUCGGCCACACUGGAACUGAGACACGGUCCAGACUCCUACGGGAGGCAGCAGUAGGGAAUCUUCCGCAAUGGGCGAAAGCCUGACGGAGCAACGCCGCGUGAGUGAUGAAGGUCUUCGGAUCGUAAAACUCUGUUAUUAGGGAAGAACAAAUGUGUAAGUAACUAUGCACGUCUUGACGGUACCUAAUCAGAAAGCAACGGCUAACUACGUG
rnacentral:rRNA from 1 species